rnacentral:rRNA from 1 species
CCUACGGGUGGCAGCAGUGGGGAAUAUUGCGCAAUGGGCGAAAGCCUGACGCAGCGACGCCGCGUGAGGGAUGAAGGUCUUCGGAUCGUAAACCUCUGUCAGCAGGGAAGAACGGUCACUGUGCUAAUCAGCAGUGAAUUGACGGUACCUGCAAAGGAAGCACCGGCUAACUCCGUGCCAGCAGCCGCGGUAAUACGGAGGGUGCGAGCGUUAAUCGGAAUUACUGGGCGUAAAGCGCUCGUAGGCGGUUUCUCAAGUCAAGGGUGAAAUCCCCGGGCUCAACGUGGGAAGGGCCUUUGAAACUGGCAGACUGGAGUGUGUGAGAGGAUAGUGGAAUUCCAGGUGUAGGAGUGAAAUCCGUAGAUAUCUGGAGGAACAUCAGUGGCGAAGGCGGCUAUCUGGCACAUAACUGACGCUGAGGAGCGAAAGCGUGGGUAGCAAACAGGAUUAGAUACCCCUGUAGUC